GGAAGGGGGCAGGGAGAAAGAAAGAAACUUCUAAACAAUACAAAGAGAAUUAGAAGUUGGAAUGUUGAGUGAGCAAAGUGGUUGAGUUGGGACUCCAUGUUUUGCCUGUACCAUGUUGGUCCCUCCCAGGCAUCUGUCCACUUUAUAGGUUAACACUUCAGAAUGGCCUGACCAAGUUUAUCAAAAUAGGUGUGCCCCAUUGUAAUAUGCCAUGUUUCCCAGGUUCUUCUUCUUCAGGUAGGGAGAUUCACUAACAUUCCACUUAAGAAGUAGCUGACCUUGCUCAAAAUUGAAUGCUGGCCAACCAACACUCCCCAGGAAAAAAAAAAUUAUAAUAAAGGGACUUCUCAUAGCCACUGCUCAACUAUUGGGAAAAGAGGGACAAUACCCAAUGUACAAUUACAUUCCAAACUGCAACACUAAAGCAAGGAGAGAGAAAUCCACCUGUCUGUUGUAGAACCGACUCAUCAAGGAGAGACAAGAAAUUUCUGGCUGGUCUUUCAUCCCCAUGGGCUGCCCAGCCUACCCUGACAGAUGAGCAAUUGUCCCCAUGAAAGAAGAAAGCAAAGAAGCCUUCCCCAGACCUCACUGUUCCUCAUUCCAAAUGUCUUGUAAGUCCUAGGGGCACUGAAAGAGUUUGUCCUCAGCCAAAUACAACUUCCUGUUUCUAAGAAAGGGAAGAAAAAAAAUAGUUGAAAGGAUUUUUGGACAGUGGAGAUUUCAAGUUUCUGUAAACGCAAAUGAAUCAGACACAUGUGGAAUAAAUUUCUCC
rnacentral:lncRNA from 1 species